AGUUCACACGUGAAACAUAAUCAAACACUUUUAAAAUAUUGAUAUGUAAUAUCUUAGUUUUUUAUGUUGUUUUUCUCCCGUUAUCAGAACUGUCCCUGACUCGCAGUGCAUGGAAAUGGAGGAAAGCGACUACAUUUAUGAUCUCUCCAACUGCACUGACAUGAACUUAUCAUGUCUUGAACACAACAGUGGGCCCAUGAAUGGCUGCGAAUACUCGCCAAGUUACUCUUGUAGGAGAGGUUACCUCAGUUCAGACUCCAACGAUGUAAGUUAGGUUACACUUAAGCAUUUCUGCCAUCUUGCUGUUGUGCUGCGACCGCACAAUCAGAUCAGAAUAUGAAAAUGUCAUUUGAAAAAGUUAGAUUUAUUAGAUUUAUAACACAAUUAAGGAUUCACGUCCGAAAAGAAGUAGGAAAAAGUGAAUACCUAUGAAGUCUAAACGUGUUAAAGCGACGGUAG
rnacentral:lncRNA from 1 species